rnacentral:lncRNA from 10 species
GGAGACACAAAUUUUUUUAAUGUAAAAUAACAUUGAGAGUUCACCUAAACAUCUGUCUUAGAAAUUCAGGUUGAGGGCUAUGAAGGGAAGAGAUGCUGUUAGAACAGAGGGAAGUGGGUGACCUCUCCAAAGACAGACGUGCUCCGACGGAGAGCUGGGGUGUUCCCGCGGUAGCCAAACCUUCCACUGAACCCACUGACCAGUUUGACAUCAGCAUUGUAGUGGCCAUCUGCUGGAGAGGAUGCCCUUGGGGGCAAGGAGAGAGAGGCCUGAGCCUGCUUCCAGUCCACCUCUUGGCUUCCCCAUUCCCCUGGGUGUGGUAUGGGAUGCCAACCAGGUGUAGUCACUGCAUUCCCCAUGCCCACAGCCAAACACGCAAUCCUCAAAUGUCCUGAGCCUCUGGGCUGAAAAGCCAAGGGCUGGUGAGGUUGAGGGACAGAAGGCUUCCUAGAAAUAAAACCCUGCACCAGGAAUAAUUGCGGGAAGACUGUGAAUGGUUUGUGCUGGGACAGGAGGGGCCAGAAAUUCUGGGCUUGGCAGAGCUUGCCUUUCUCCCACGAGAAAUGAGAAAAAUCUCACCCUUGUCUCUGACCCAUGUGGAAAAAAUGGAUGAGAUCAAGAUCAAUUGGACCAAAUGGUACAAAGGAUCAUGUGAGUAGAGGAGUGGCCCAGGAUGGUGGAGUUGGGCUGGGAGGAGGGUUUACCCUGUUAGAAAAGUAUCUCUCAACUCUUUCCCAUUGUUGUUAACCUGGGCCUGGAAAAUGAGCAGGACACAGCAGUGAGGGGAACAGGGGCUUCAGAGUUGGGAAGAGCGGAAUCUUAAUCCCAGCUCAGCCCUUCUUGCCAAACCACUUUAACUCAACAAACUUGUUUCCCAAACUGUGCCGUGGGGUUAGUGUGAGGGUGAGAAGUGUCUUACAAAUGGCUCGUGUCUGUAAUGCCAGCACUUUGGGAGGCUGAGGCCAGAGGAUCACUUGAGCCUAGGAGUUCAAGACCAGCCUGGGAAACAUAGGGAGACGCCAUCUCUACAAAAAAUAAAAAAUUAACUGAGUGUGGUGGUGCACACCUGUGGGCCCAACUGCUCAGAAGACUGAGGUGGGAGGAUUGCUCAAGCCCAAGGAGGUCAAGACUGCAGUGAGUAGUAAUUGUGCUACUGCAACUCAUGCACUCCAGCUUGGGCGACAGAGUGAGACCAUGUCUCAAAAAAAAAAAAAGGUGGGGGGGGCCUGACAUACAGUAGGUGCUUAUUAGCUAGUAUCAGGGAGUACUGUGCCACCAUCUGCUUGUGUAUGUGAAGAAAAGCUGGAAAUGGAGGCAGCACUUGCCUGUCUCUGCCCAACUUCUCCUGUUGAGGUAU